AAGUAUUGGAAUGCCUUCCUGCUGUCUGUAUGGACCUGCUCUUGCCAGUUACUGCACAAAGAAAUAGUUUAAUUCCACUCGGAAUACAGGCACCAGGCAAAGAGAGAGGGAGAGAAGAGUUCACAGCAGGUAAGUCUGGUGUGGGUCACCUGCUACUCCAAUGGGAGGGUGUGCUGGAAACCGCGGUGCCAAGAGGGGAUAGCCGGGAUUUGCGGGUGGCUGUGCGUCCGAAGCGAGGAUGGAGCAGGAUCUGGGGAGAUAAGGAACCGUCCUGAGACAGAGAAGGCUCCCGGGAGCGGACAGAGAGUGGGCGCCCAGGGGAGCGGACGGAGAAUCGGUGCGCAGUCAGCGCGGCGCCGGCGUCCGCGCCGCACGGAGGACG
rnacentral:lncRNA from 1 species